ensembl:lncRNA
AUGCUGUUUUGCUGUGUUGCUAUCUUUUAUAGUACUAUGAUAAUAUUCCAUGUUAAAAGAUUUCCCAUGGGUGGGACCUGCAUUUUUAUGACGCAGCACUGGUUACAUAUUAAAACGCUGGUUUCUUUCAUAUUUAUAGGAGUUGAAGAUGCCAAAGGAGGACUUCAGAGAGGACAAGCUUUCAACAUCAGCACCGUCCAUCACUUUGUCCCUCCUCUCAUCCCGGCAACAUCAGGCACAGGCACUGGUUUAGUCCGAGACCUCACCCCAAUACUCCAUUUAAGUCCAGCAGUUUCAUCACAAGCGUUUCGAUGGGAGGUAAUGAAGGAGGUGGACAGGGAGGAGAGCGAUGGAGCCUCUUCGGGGUGCGGCCCAUUGUGCAGAAAUCCCCCACUGACCCAGGAUCAGAAACCAACACACCUGGGGGAUUCAUGCUGCAAUCAAUUGGGGUUCAGAAGUCCAAUACAAUAGAUGGCAUGAAAACCCAAAUAAACCUCACAGUUGAAGAUCCCGCCAAUUUAAAAUCUCCCAAGAUCGAGAUGAGCGGCGAGGACGGAAAGAAAACAUCCUGUCACAGACUGAGACACAGAGACAUGAACAUUCUCACUCCUUCCGGCUUCUGAACUCCACAAGUCUUGAACUCUCCUAAGCUUCCUCGCCUUUUAUGUACACAUUAUAGCACAAAAUGGCAUUUUUAUCUA